AACGGCCGUACCAUGCUGAAUAUACCGGUUCUCGUUAGAUCACCGAAGUUAAGCAUCAUUGGGCGCGGUCAGGUAUCUUGGGUGGGUGACCACCUGGGAACACUGCGUGCCGUU
rnacentral:rRNA from 1 species